AGUGUGGGGUGAUCAGCCCCAGAUUUGACGUGCAACUCAAAGACCUGGAAAAAUGGCAGAAUAAUCUGCUUCCAUCCCGCCAGUUUGGAAUUUAUACCCUCCAAAUUAUGCGUCUGGUGCCUUGGUUGAAAGUAUUCUCACUUCAUGGUUGCUGUAUUACAGUUUCAUUGUACUGACAACCUCAGCUGGCAUCAUGGACCAUGAAGAAGCAAGACGAAAACACACAGGAGGGAAAAUCCUGGGAUUCUUUUUCUAGGGAUGUAAUACAUAUAUUUACAAAUAAA
rnacentral:lncRNA from 1 species